GGAGAGGUGGCCGAGUAGGCUGAAGGCGGCACCCUGCUAAGGUGUUGUACGGGCAACUGUACCGAGGGUUCGAAUCCCUCCCUCUCCGCCA
rnacentral:tRNA from 1 species